rnacentral:rRNA from 1 species
UCCUCCGUAGGGGGACCUGCGGAGGGAUCAUUACCGAGUUUACAACUCCCAAACCCCUGUGACAUACCUUUAAUGUUGCCUCGGCGGAUCAGCCCGCGCCCCGUAAAACGGGACGGCCCGCCAGAGGACCCAAACUCUAAUGUUUCUUAUUGUAACUUCUGAGUAAAACAAACAAAUAAAUCAAAACUUUCAACAACGGAUCUCUUGGUUCUGGCAUCGAUGAAGAACGCAGCAAAAUGCGAUAAGUAAUGUGAAUUGCAGAAUUCAGUGAAUCAUCGAAUCUUUGAACGCACAUUGCGCCCGCUGGUAUUCCGGCGGGCAUGCCUGUUCGAGCGUCAUUUCAACCCUCAAGCCCCCGGGUUUGGUGUUGGGGAUCGGCUCUGCCUCACGGCGGUGCCGCCCCCGAAAUACAUUGGCGGUCUCGCUGCAGCCUCCAUUGCGUAGUAGCUAACACCUCGCAACUGGAACGCGGCGCGGCCAUGCCGUAAAACCCCAACUUCUGAAUGUUGACCUCGGAUCAGGUAGGAAUACCCGCUGAACUUAAGCAUAUCAAUAAACCGGAGGA